AUUGAACGCUGGCGGCAGGCCUAACACAUGCAAGUCGAGCGGAACGGCGGACGGGCGAGUAAUGCCUAUGACUCUGCCUGGUCGUGGGGGAUAACGUCCGGAAAAGGGCGCUAAUACCGCAUACUCUCAGACGAGUCUAGGUCGGAUUAGCUAGUUGGUGGGGUAAAGGCCUACCCAGGCGAAGAUCCGUAACUGGUCUGAGAGGAUGAUCAGUCACACGGGAACUGAGAGACGGUCCAGACGCCUACGGGAGGCAGCAGUGGGGAAUAUGGGACAAUGGGCGAAAGCCUGAUCCAGCCAUGCCGCGUGUGUGAAGAAGGUCUUCGGAUUGUAAAGCACUUUAAGGUGGGAGGCGUUACCAACAGAAUAAGCACCGGCUAACUUCGUGCCAGCAGCCGCGGUAAUUC
rnacentral:rRNA from 1 species